GAUGAACGCUGGCGGCGUGCCUAAUACAUGCAAGUCGAACGAAUGGAUUAAGAGCUUGCUCUUAUGAAGUUAGCGGCGGACGGGUGAGUAACACGUGGGUAACCUGCCCAUAAGACUGGGAUAACUCCGGGAAACCGGGGCUAAUACCGGAUAACAUUUUGAACCGCAUGGUUCGAAAUUGAAAGGCGGCUUCGGCUGUCACUUAUGGAUGGACCCGCGUCGCAUUAGCUAGUUGGUGAGGUAACGGCUCACCAAGGCAACGAUGCGUAGCCGACCUGAGAGGGUGAUCGGCCACACUGGGACUGAGACACGGCCCAGACUCCUACGGGAGGCAGCAGUAGGGAAUCUUCCGCAAUGGACGAAAGUCUGACGGAGCAACGCCGCGUGAGUGAUGAAGGCUUUCGGGUCGUAAAACUAUGUUGUUAGGGAAGAACAAGUGCUAGUUGAAUAAGCUGGCACCUUGACGGUACCUAACCAGAAAGCCACGGCUAACUACGUGCCAGCAGCCGCCGUAA
rnacentral:rRNA from 1 species